AUUUCCUCUUUGGUAAGAGGUUCACCUUUGGCCAGGUGUUAAAAAUAAUUUCAAGCCUUUGGUAGGCUGUGAUGUACCUGUGAUGUACAUUUACAUAUGGGAGACGUCCCUAGAUCCCUCUUUGGUAGAGGUUGCCUUUGGUAGGUUGUAAAACAGAUUUCCAGUCUUUGGUGGACUGUGGUAUUUAUUUAACGUAGAUGUAAAUUUGGCAGACUAAAAUGGUUAUUAAAAAAAAAAAAGGGGGUUAAAAGGUAUGAUGGAUGUUUGGCAUUACUCCGGCUUGCUAAUUUAUGUGCUAUUUUAUGAUGUGCAACGCUGAUUUUAAGUAUAAAGUCUUAAUUGAGG
rnacentral:lncRNA from 1 species